GACGAACGCUGGCGGCGUGCUUAACACAUGCAAGUCGAGCGGUAAGGCCCUUUCGGGGGUACACGAGCGGCGAACGGGUGAGUAACACGUGGGUGACCUGCCCUCAGCUCUGGGAUAAGCCCGGGAAACUGGGUCUAAUACUGGAUAUGACUCCACGGUGCAUGCCGUGGGGUGGAAAGCCUUGUGCGGCUGAGGAUGGGCCCGCGGCCUAUCAGCUUGUUGGUGGGGUGANGGCCUACCAAGGCGACGACGGGUAGCCGGCCUGAGAGGGCGACCGGCCACACUGGGACUGAGACACGGCCCAGACUCCUACGGGAGGCAGCAGGUGGGGAAUCUUG
rnacentral:rRNA from 1 species